rnacentral:lncRNA from 1 species
GUAUCGCAGUUUUAUCCAAGUUACUUUUGUUGGACCUUGUUUAAUAAUUGAGAAGAUGCCAAAGACACGAGCUAAGACAAGAAAAGUUGACAGGAGGACCCUAAGAAAAGAAAGAUUUCAUCAUUUGGGAAAGAAAAGUUGGGAAAA